rnacentral:rRNA from 1 species
AUUGAACGCUGGCGGCAUGCCUUACACAUGCAAGUCGAACGGCAGCGGACCUUCGGGUGCCGGCGAGUGGCGAACGGGUGAGUAAUAUAUCGGAACGUACCUUUCAGUGGGGGAUAACGUAGCGAAAGUUACGCUAAUACCGCAUAUUCUGUGAGCAGGAAAGCAGGGGAUCGCAAGACCUUGCGCUGAUUGAGCGGCCGAUAUCAGAUUAGCUAGUUGGUGAGGUAAAGGCUCACCAAGGCGACGAUCUGUAGCGGGUCUGAGAGGAUGAUCCGCCACACUGGAACUGAGACACGGUCCAGGACUCCUACGGGAGGCAGCAGUGGGGAAUUUUGGACAAUGGGCGCAAGCCUGAUCCAGCCAUGCCGCGUGAGUGAAGAAGGCC